UUUAAAGAGUGCGUAAUAGCUCACUGAUCGAGCGCCCUUGCGCUGAAGAUGAACGGGGCUAAGCGAUCUGCCGAAGCUGUGGGAUGUCAAAAUGCAUCGGUAGGGGAGCGUUCCGCCUUAGAGGGAAGCAACCGCGAAAGCGGGGGUCGACGAAGCGGAAGCGAGAAUGUCGGCUUGAGUANNNNAAACAUUGGUGAGAAUCCAAUGCCCCGAAAACCCAAGGUUUCCUCCGCAAGGUUCGUCCACGGAGGG
rnacentral:ncRNA from 1 species